CUGGCUGUGCCUUGGCGUCCCAGGCCCUUUGCAAUGGCGGCAGCGUCAGGGGACCCCUGUAAGCAGGGAAGUUGACCCUUUGGUCGCUGCUUUUGGUGUGCCCAGCUCCAUUUGCCCAGUCUGCCCGCCUCUGUGACCCUCCGCAGCACCGGCUGGAGUUCCGCAGCGCAUCGGCGUGGGAGCUGCUGCAGCAAAGGAAGAAGCAGCAAGUGGAACCGGGAGGCAACAGCGAGCAAGAAGAACAAUCUGCUUGUUUUCUGUCUAUGUAUGUAUCUUUGGUGUCUUUUCAUUUCUUUUUCAUCGUAUGUCUAAUGUGGAAUUUUUCCUCGCUUUAUGAUUUUUCAAAAUAAAAUUUGUUGCUUUUUGUUCAAACGGUA